ACCGAGGCCUGUUCUUUCCACUUUGGGGGCUGUGACUUGCGAUUCUCCACAAGAGCAGGUGGUGCUUGUGUGGGACUCCAGACUUUUGCAUUAUAGCCUCCCUGCUUUCCUCUCCUCUGCUGGAAGCUUCGCAGGCCUGUGACUUUGGAGGAAGAGGGCGAGGUGGUGAGGCUGGAGAUGAGUCCGCUGAGAGAGGCUUGGCCGCAGAAUGCCCACUGAGAGAGAUGAGCAAAUUUCGGUGUACUCUCCGAGAGGAAAUGACCCAAUGGACCGUUGCUCCUCUGUUAAGUUGUGAUGCUGUUUACAAACACUGUGCAGUAUUUAACCUCUCAUUCUGGAAGACUAGAAACUGUUUGCUUGCAGAAAAUAUCAAAUGUUUGAGAUUAACUGCAGCAUCCAAGAUGCAUGAUGAUGAAAUUACAAUUUGAUUGUGCCUGCAUUUCUUCUGGAAAACAAGGCUUGAGUGCAAAGGCAAAACCAAGCAAAACUAGAAUGAAGAGCCUCAACAAGUAGUUUAACAAAAAUAAGAUUUCAGGCACAACAUAUUUGGCAGAUUUUAGAGGAAGACCCCUUCCUUUGAAGUUUCUCUAUGUUGCGCUGAGAACUCUUCACUGUAUCAGUCAGCUGGGUGGGGUUCAUGGAGUUUUGAUGUCCCUGCCUGCCUUUGGCCAACAGAACAGUUUACUCCUCCGGCACACCACUCAAGUGAAAACACAGGAAUUUUCUGAGGUAGCCAUUCUGAUACAUAUGUCACCAAGCUUGGACCUUCCUCCCUCUGAUGAUGAUGGGUUACAAUCUCUGGCUCAGUCUGCAUGUGGUUGGAAGAUACCUGACCAAGUCAAAGAGACCGUUAGGAGUUUUUCUUCAAAUCUAAGGAUUUGGCGCUUUUGCCAGAUUGGACUGUUUCUGUUUGAACGAAAAAGGGAGGGAGUGGUGGGAGAGAUUGUUGGUUAUCUCCCAAUAUCUGUCCUCCUCCUCUUCUUUUAAUAAAACUAUUCUUAGUUGGGCACAUGGCUGACUAAAAUAAAAAUUACCUUUUUCAGCAUCUCGUGCAACCAGGUAUGACCAUGUGGUUGACCAGUGAGCUGUGAGCAGAAAUGACGUUGGCACUUCUGGUUCAUGCCUCCAUCCUCUUUCCUCCUGUUUGGGAUGCAGAUGUGGUCAUAAACCGUCUUGGACCGUGUGGAUGCAAGCAAUUCUUUAAGACAAUAAUUCCCAAACUUUGCUGCACGUUAGAAUUACCCAGGAAGCUUUUAAAAAUCCCAAUGCCCAGGUUAUGCUGUGGGCCAAUCAAAUAAGAAUGUCUGGGGGUGGGAGCCAAGACAUGAGUGUUUUUAAAAAUUUCCAAGUGAUUCCACUGUGAAGCAGAGUUUGUGAAUCACUGCCUUCGGGAGUCCAGAACAGAACGUUAAAGGAGCCUGUGUUGCUGACAGCACCCUAGUCCAGGACUCCCUACAGCAGGCCCAUCACAUGGCAGAGAAAUAGACUUCUAAUUUGUGUAAGACUGUUACUUGGAGUCUCAGUUACAGCUGCUGAACUUGUGUACUAGCUAAUGAAGUGGGUCACUGUCAUUAAAACUAUUUCACAGAAUAA